UACGGAGGGGACUAGCGUUGUUCGGAAUUACUGGGCGUAAAGCGCACGUAGGCGGAUUUGUAAGUCAGGGGUGAAAUCCCGGGCUCAACCUCGGAACUGCCUUUGAUACUGCAAAUCUCGAGUCCGGAAGAGGUGAGUGGAAUUCCUAGUGUAGAGGUGAAAUUCGUAGAUAUUAGGAAGAACACCUAUGGCGAAGGCAGCUCUCUGGGACGGUACUGACGCUGAGACGCGAAAGCGUGGGGAGCGAACAGG
rnacentral:rRNA from 1 species